GUCCUCCUAACGGCUGGAGAUGGUAACGGUCAACUGUAAUUUGAUUUCUUCUAAGAUGAUGACUCCUAACUGCUCCUCCAUGUGCAGGAGGUGAAGACGUCAGGCCUGCAGGUGCAGCUUUAUUCGCCUCUUCUCCUUAAUUUACUGCGGAGGUUAGGAGCGGGCCACCCCGGGCUGCCGGUUCCACACCAGGAAUGCUUUGAAGUAGCAGAGCCGGACGGCCGGAGAAGAAGAUCCGAGCGGAGCCGGGGCGUCCAGGACCAGUAUGGUUGCGGAUGAAUCGCCAGUCGUCAGCAUCAAGGACCCUCCAUGGAAUCUUCAAAGAUUCAAGCUCCAAAAGGGAUUAUGUAAGUGUUAAUAUCUCUGAAACGCCACAUUUCUGUAUUUGAGGCUUGUUGAAGACUGUCCAGUGCAGUAGAGGAACUCGGUGAUGUUCCCAGCUAAACUUCAUCAACGGCCCAACAACCCAAAGACAAUCUGUUAGUGAGUGGCUGUUUGGGGGAGAGCAGAGAGACUCAGUGUCUUAUCAACAGAAACAGAAACAAUGUAAGAAGUGAUGGAUCUGAAUAUACCUGGUUGGUCUGUUAUGUACUGUAAUAUCCAACAAUCUACCUGUUAAAAGAACAUUUACUCUGUCAUGUUAGAUGAACUGAUUGCUUUACUUUCUCCUCUGUGUACUUUGAACAAUUUCAUGCAUAUUGUAAUGAAGAAAAUGUAUUGACCAUCCUGCAUUUUGUAUUGCACAGCUGAUAUAUCAUACCUUUUGAUAAGCAAUAUGUGAAAGAAAGCGACAUGUGAAACAUGCACAUUACUCCAUGUUGUAAUAUGUUUUGUA